GUAGUAUUCCCUCCAUCCCAAAAUUCUUGUCUUACAUUUGUUUAGAUAAGAUGUAUCUAACACUAAAAUGUAACUAGAUACAUCCGUAUUUAGACAAAUUUAAGACAAGAAUUUUGGGACGGAGGGAGUACAAA
rnacentral:pre_miRNA from 1 species